UACGUAGGGCGCAAGCGUUGUCCGGAAUUAUUGGGCGUAAAGAGCUCGUAGGCGGUUUGUCGCGUCUGUCGUGAAAGCUUGGGGCUUAACCCCAAGUCUGCGGUGGAUACGGGCAGACUAGAGGCAGGUAGGGGAGAACGGAAUUCCCGGUGUAGCGGUGAAAUGCGCAGAUAUCGGGAGGAACACCAGUGGCGGAGGCGGCGAUCUGGGAAGAUACUGACGCUGAGGUGCGAAAGCGUGGGGAGCAAACAGG
rnacentral:rRNA from 1 species